AUGCAUCACACACCUCAUGUGGAUCUAGCUUUCAACAGCGUAGAACACAUUAUGAGAGAUGUUGAAGUGGGCUGGUUGCUCCAUUAUAUGCAUGCUAAUGGGGCAAGUAUGUUUCUCAUUGUGGUUCACCUUCAUAUUUUCAUGGUCUAUAUCAUGCGAGUUAUAGCAGUCCUAGGGAAUUUGUUCGGUGUCUCGGAGUUGUCAUAUUCCUAUUAA
rnacentral:rRNA from 1 species